rnacentral:rRNA from 1 species
AAACCAGCACCUCAAGUGGUCAGGAUGAUUAUUGGGCCUAAAGCAUCCGUAGCCGGCUCUGUAAGUUUUCGGUUAAAUCUGUACGCUUAACGUACAGGCUGCCGGGAAUACUGCAGAGCUAGGGAGUGGGAGAGGUAGACGGUACUCGGGAGGAAGUGGUAAAAUGCUUUGAUCUCUCGAUGACCACCUGUGGCGAAGGCGGUCUACCAGAACACGUCCGACGGUGAGGGAUGAAAGCUGGGGGAGCAAACCGGAUUAGAAACCCGUGUAGUCC